rnacentral:rRNA from 1 species
AGAGUUUGAUCCUGGCUCAGGAUGAACGCUGGCGGUCUGCUUAACACAUGCAAGUCGAACGAACUCUUCGGAGUGAGUGGCGGACGGGUGAGUAACGCGUGAGAAUCUACCUGUGGGUCGGGGACAACCACUGGAAACGGUGGCUAAUACCGGAUGAGCCGAAAGGUAAAAGAUUUAUUGCCCACAGAUGAGCUCGCGUCUGAUUAGCUAGUUGGUAAGGUAAAAGCGUACCAAGGCGACGAUCAGUAGCUGGUCUGAGAGGAUGAGCAGCCACACUGGGACUGAGACACGGCCCAGACUCCUACGGGAGGCAGCAGUGGGGAAUUUUCCGCAAUGGGCGAAAGCCUGACGGAGCAAGACCGCGUGGGGGAGGAAGGUUUUUGGAUCGUAAACCCCUUUUGUCAAGGAAGAAGCUCUGACGGUACUUGACGAAUAAGCCUCGGCUAACUCCGUGCCAGCAGCCGCGGUAAUACGGAGGAGGCAAGCGUUAUCCGGAAUGAUUGGGCGUAAAGCGUCUGUAGGUGGCCAGCUAAGUCUGCUGUUAAAGAUCACAGCUCAACUGUGGGAAGGCAGUGG